CAAUUUAGCCGUACUAUUCAUCAUCUUUUCACACUAAUCAGCUCUCCAUAAGUUCAGUAUAAAGCCAUCCUCAUUCACCUUCUUCAUCACAGCAGCAAAUCUACUCCUUCCAUCGAGGAAUCACCAAGCAUCAUUCAAGGUUGAGCUGUGAUGAACGAUGAAGUGUUGCUGAGUGGAGCUUUUGUCGAACUUAGAAUAGGCUCAGAAAGGAUAUGUGUCUGCAUACAUGUAUCUCAGUCUUGCCUUCCGCUGCAAACACUGAUUAUGUUUUAGUCAAGUCUAUAAUUAUGUCAAUUACUCUUCAAGAAAUAUUUAACGCUUACUCGGGUUCAUCGAGUAUCCUUUUUAACUAUA